rnacentral:rRNA from 1 species
GACGAACCACACAAACGUUAUUCGGAAUUACUGGGCUUAAAGGGUGCGUAGGCGGCGCAGAAAGUAGGGUGUGAAAUCCCUCGGCUCAACCGAGGAACUGCGCCCUAAACUACUGUGCUCGAGGGAGGUAGAGGUGAGCGGAACUUAGGGUGGAGCGGUGAAAUGCGUUGAUAUCCUAAGGAACACCCGUGGCGAAAGCGGCGCGCUGGACCACUACUGACGCUGAGGAACGAAAGCUAGGGGAGCAAACAGG